rnacentral:rRNA from 1 species
GAGUAACACGUGACUAACCUACCUCCGAGUGGGGAAUAACUCCGGGAAACCGGGGCUAAUACCGCAUAACAUCGCAAGAUCAAAGCAGCAAUGCGCUUGGAGAGGGGGUCGCGGCUGAUUAGCUCGUUGGCGGGGUAACGGCCCACCAAGGCGAAGAUCGGUAUCCGGCCUGAGAGGGCGCACGGACACACUGGAACUGAAACACGGUCCAGACUCCUACGGGAGGCAGCAGUGGGGAAUUUUGCGCAAUGGGGGAAACCCUGACGCAGCAACGCCGCGUGGAGGAUGAAGCCCUUUGGGGCGUAAACUCCUUUCGACUCGGACGAUAAUGACGGUACGAGUGGAAGAAGCACCGGCUAA